rnacentral:tRNA from 1 species
GUUCUUGAGGUGUAACACCAGCACAUUAGGUUUUCAUCCUAAAGGUAUAAUAGAAUUUAUCUAGAACA